rnacentral:rRNA from 1 species
UACGUAGGGUGCAAGCGUUAAUCGGAAUUACUGGGCGUAAAGGGUGCGUAGGUGGUUGUUUAAGUCUGUUGUGAAAGCCCCGGGCUCAACCUGGGAAUGGCAAUGGAUACUGGACAGCUAGAGUGCGGUAGAGGGUAGUGGAAUUCCCGGUGUAGCGGUGAAAUGCGCAGAUAUCAGGAGGAACACCUAUUGCGAAGGCAGCUCGCUGGGACGUAACUGACGCUGAGACGCGAAAGCGUGGGGAGCAAACAGG